rnacentral:rRNA from 1 species
UUAAGUUAUUAAGGGCGCACGGUGGAUGCCUUGGCACUAGAAGCCGAUGAAGGACGUUACUAACGACGAUAUGCUUUGGGGAGCUGUAAGUAAGCUUUGAUCCAGAGAUUUCCGAAUGGGGAAACCCAGCAUGAGUUAUGUCAUGUUAUCGAUAUGUGAAUACAUAGCAUAUCAGAAGGCACACCCGGAGAACUGAAACAUCUUAGUACCCGGAGGAAGAGAAAGAAAAUUCGAUUCCCUUAGUAGCGGCGAGCGAAACGGGAAGAGCCCAAACCAACAAGCUUGCUUGUUGGGGUUGUAGGACACUCUAUACGGAGUUACAAAGGACGACAUUAGACGAAUCAUCUGGAAAGAUGAAUCAAAGAAGGUAAUAAUCCUGUAGUCGAAAAUGUUGUCUCUCUUGAGUGGAUCCUGAGUACGACGGAGCACGUGAAAUUCCGUUGGAAUCUGGGAGGACCAUCUCUUAAGGCUAAAUACUCUCUAGUGACCGAUAGUGAACCAGUACCGUGAGGGAAAGGUGAAAAGCACCCCGGAAGGGGAGUGAAAUAGAACCUGAAACCGUGUGCUUACAAGUAGUCAGAGCCCGUUAAUGGGUGAUGGCGUGCCUUUUGUAGAAUGAACCGGCGAGUUACGAUUUGAUGCAAGGUUAAGCAGUAAAUGUGGAGCCGUAGCGAAAGCGAGUCUGAAUAGGGCGUUUAGUAUUUGGUCGUAGACCCGAAACCAGGUGAUCUACCCUUGGUCAGGUUGAAGUUCAGGUAACACUGAAUGGAGGACCGAACCGACUUACGUUGAAAAGUGAGCGGAUGAACUGAGGGUAGCGGAGAAAUUCCAAUCGAACCUGGAGAUAGCUGGUUCUCUCCGAAAUAGCUUUAGGGCUAGCCUCAAGUGAUGAUUAUUGGAGGUAGAGCACUGUUUGGACGAGGGGCCCCUCUCGGGUUACCGAAUUCAGACAAACUCCGAAUGCCAAUUAAUUUAACUUGGGAGUCAGAACAUGGGUGAUAAGGUCCGUGUUCGAAAGGGAAACAGCCCAGACCACCAGCUAAGGUCCCAAAAUAUAUGUUAAGUGGAAAAGGAUGUGGCGUUGCCCAGACAACUAGGAUGUUGGCUUAGAAGCAGCCAUCAUUUAAAGAGUGCGUAAUAGCUCACUAGUCGAGUGACACUGCGCCGAAAAUGUACCGGGGCUAAACAUAUUACCGAAGCUGUGGAUUGUCCUUUGGACAAUGGUAGGAGAGCGUUCUAAGGGCGUUGAAGCAUGAUCGUAAGGACAUGUGGAGCGCUUAGAAGUGAGAAUGCCGGUGUGAGUAGCGAAAGACGGGUGAGAAUCCCGUCCACCGAUUGACUAAGGUUUCCAGAGGAAGGCUCGUCCGCUCUGGGUUAGUCGGGUCCUAAGCUGAGGCCGACAGGCGUAGGCGAUGGAUAACAGGUUGAUAUUCCUGUACCACCUAUAAUCGUUUUAAUCGAUGGGGGGACGCAGUAGGAUAGGCGAAGCGUGCGAUUGGAUUGCACGUCUAAGCAGUAAGGCUGAGUAUUAGGCAAAUCCGGUACUCAUUAAGGCUGAGCUGUGAUGGGGAGAAGACAUUGUGUCUUCGAGUCGUUGAUUUCACACUGCCGAGAAAAGCCUCUAGAUAGAAAAUAGGUGCCCGUACCGCAAACCGACACAGGUAGUCAAGAUGAGAAUUCUAAGGUGAGCGAGCGAACUCUCGUUAAGGAACUCGGCAAAAUGACCCCGUAACUUCGGGAGAAGGGGUGCUCUUUAGGGUUAACGCCCAGAAGAGCCGCAGUGAAUAGGCCCAAGCGACUGUUUAUCAAAAACACAGGUCUCUGCUAAACCGUAAGGUGAUGUAUAGGGGCUGACGCCUGCCCGGUGCUGGAAGGUUAAGAGGAGUGGUUAGCUUCUGCGAAGCUACGAAUCGAAGCCCCAGUAAACGGCGGCCGUAACUAUAACGGUCCUAAGGUAGCGAAAUUCCUUGUCGGGUAAGUUCCGACCCGCACGAAAGGCGUAACGAUUUGGGCACUGUCUCAACGAGAGACUCGGUGAAAUCAUAGUACCUGUGAAGAUGCAGGUUACCCGCGACAGGACGGAAAGACCCCGUGGAGCUUUACUGUAGCCUGAUAUUGAAAUUCGGCACAGCUUGUACAGGAUAGGUAGGAGCCUUUGAAACGUGAGCGCUAGCUUACGUGGAGGCGCUGGUGGGAUACUACCCUAGCUGUGUUGGCUUUCUAACCCGCACCACUUAUCGUGGUGGGAGACAGUGUCAGGCGGGCAGUUUGACUGGGGCGGUCGCCUCCUAAAAGGUAACGGAGGCGCUCAAAGGUUCCCUCAGAAUGGUUGGAAAUCAUUCAUAGAGUGUAAAGGCAUAAGGGAGCUUGACUGCGAGACCUACAAGUCGAG